CGACCUCAGAGCAGACGAGACUACCCGCUGAAUUUAAGCAUAU
rnacentral:rRNA from 1 species